rnacentral:rRNA from 1 species
AGUAGUCGUAACAAGGUUCCGUAGGUGAACCUGCGGAAGAUCAUACCAUGUCAUCAGUCAUGCUAUCGUGUGAACUGUAUAAGCCCACCUUUGGGUAACCCACUUUUGGGUUCUGUGUACUUUCCUGUUGCUUCCCGUGUCGGUCCUCUGGGCUGUGUAGUGGAUUAGCACCCUGGACGCCCCUGCCCUUUGAGGUGGAUCGGAUGUUUCCAGGGAAGAACCCCUACGGUAUCCCCGAGGGCUUCUUUCGGAGGAACGCUUAAGUGGAUGUUGCCGUCGUCUUCUGGAAACCCCAUGCCCUUUUGAGGUGGAUUGGAUGGUUUCUGGAGGAGGAGCGAGCACUCCUGCGGGCCUCCUUUUGGAGGUACGCUCACCAGACCCAGUCGUGCCAGCGGGCAAUCCACUGUGCUUUUACCUUUCCUGUUGCUUCCCGUUGGCCUUCCUGGGGUGUGUUGUGGAUUAGCCACCCUGGACGCCCCUGCCCGAGUGAGGUGGAUUGGAUGGUUCCAGGGAAAGAACCCCUACGGUAUCCCCGAGGGCCUCUUUCAGAGGUAUAGUGCUCAAGUGGCUGGCUCAUGGGGACACCCCUGCCUUUUUGAGGCGGAACGGAUAGUUUCCAGAGGCAGCCGGAGGGCCUCUGUUUUAGAGGUAUGCUCACCAUACCCCCCAGGAUGUCAGCGGAAUGAUUAAUAAAUCUCUGUGAUCUACAACUGAAUCUGUCUGAACAAAGAACGAUAAGAAAAUGUUAAAACUUUCAGCAACGGAUCUCUUGGUUCUCGCAUCGAUGAAGAACGCAGCGAAAUGCGAUAAGUAGUGUGAAUUGCAGAAUUCCGUGAAUCAUCGAAUCUUUGAACGCACAUUGCGCCUUCUGGUAUUCCGGAAGGCAUGCCUGUUCGAGAGUCAUUAACAACCGUUUCGAUCCCUUUCUUUCAGAAAUUACAAAGAGGAAAAGGGUUUGGUUAUGGUGGAGGAGGGAAAGGGAGCGUUUAGCCUGUAAAAAAAGAGGCUGUGUUCCGCCUCCCCCCCAAAAUUGUACAGGCGGUCGUGUGCGCCCACGCAUCGAGGUGUUGUAAAAGCUGCCACGGCACUUUUCACCUGUGCAGUGCGAGAUUGGCCAGCCGGUUUAAAAACCCCUCCAAAC